rnacentral:rRNA from 1 species
AAGUCGUAACAAGGUUUCCGUAGGUGAACCUGCGGAAGGAUCAUUAAUGAAACUUCAAAGUCGGCUCUGUUCUGUGCUGGUGGCAACACAUGUGCACGUUCGGGUCGCAAAUCCACACACCUGUGCACUUUUUAUGACUCUGAGUGCCGCUUUGCGUGGUCAACCGAAAGGAAGACCUGGUGCUUGAGUAACUUUACACACUAUUGAAUGUAAUGGAAUGUCUUUUGUGCAUAAUGUACAACUAAAACAACUUUCAACAACGGAUCUCUUGGCUCUCGCAUCGAUGAAGAACGCAGCGAAAUGCGAUAAGUAAUGUGAAUUGCAGAAUUCAGUGAAUCAUCGAAUCUUUGAACGCACCUUGCACCCUUUGGUAUUCCGAAGGGUACGCCCGUUUGAGUGUUAUUGUAAUCUCACUACAACAACUUUAUUUGUUGAUGUAUGUGGACUUGGAUGUUGCCGUGUUACAGCGGCUCGUCUGAAAUGCCUCAGUGUACCCUGCUUUGCAGCGUAUUCGGUGUGAUACAUCUUCACCGGAGUCGAUCUUUGGAUCACGUUUGCCUAGCAUGGCUCUAUGCUUCCAACCGUCUUUAACGACAAAUCUUUGACAAUUUGACCUCAAAUCGGGUGGGACUACCCGCUGAACUUAA